rnacentral:lncRNA from 1 species
CGUCACUUCAUUAUUGGCUGCACCUGCGCAAUCAUGUGACGCGAUACAUUUUUUCAAAGACGUUUUUCAAGACACAGGAGAGGUCGGGUUGAAACAUUACUGAUGUUUCACGUUAAAAAUGGCUCUAAAGAUUGAUGCUAAACAACGUUUGACAUGUUUGAACAAUGUAAAUAGAUUAUUUUUUUUACUUUUCGCCGUGACUCCCCCCCGCUACUUUUUAGUAGCCUACCGAAGCGCUAACAACAUGGAACAACUUGGAGUUAUUUGGACAUCAAUUAUGAACUUUGUUGAAAGAAACCACAUUUGCAGUGGACCUGGGAUGCGUGGAAUUGCCAAUGGAUGAAGAGAAUCAAAGAUGUGCCAAAUUGUACUGCUUACCCUGACGAUGUGGUGGUUCAUUCGUCUACUUGGUCUGAUCAUCUCUCCACUUUGAAAAGUGUGUUUCAGCGUUUGGAGAAUGCUUCUUUAACCCUCAAUUUUGCCAAGUGUGAGUUUGGGAAGGCUAGUGACUUACUUAGGAAAACAAGUGGGACGAGGUCAAGUGCGCCCAGUAACUGGUAAAGUGGAAGCAAUUGUUGCUUUUCCUGCUCCCACGACUCGCCUCCAGUUGCGCAGAUUCCUGGGGAUGGUAGGGUACUAUCGUACAUUCUGUAAGAAUUUCUUGAUGGUAGUAGCUCCCCUUACAUCUCUGCUUAGUCCCAAGGUACCACUUAAGUGGUCCCAGGACUGUAACUAUGCUUUUGAGUCCGCUAAAGUGCUACUUUGUAGUGCCCCAGUGCUUGCCGCCCCCAACUUUGACAAACCUUUUAAGUUGGAGGUAGACGCUAGUAUAGUGGGGGUGGGUGCGGUUCUCUUGCAGGAAGAUGAAGAUGGAGUGGAUCGGCCUGUCAGUUUCUUCUCCCGUAAGUUGAAGGUACUCCACUAUUGAACAAGAGACGCUGGCUUUAUUGCUAGCCUUACAGUUCUUUGAAGUAUAUGUGGGCUCCAGUGCCUUGCCUAUACUGGUCUUCACGGACCAUAAUCCUUUGGUGUUUUUGAAGCAAAUGUACAAUCAGAACCACCGCCUAAUGCGGUGGGCUCUGAUUGUACAAGGAUACAAUGUACAGAUAGCCUAUGUAAAGGAUUCGGCGGAUGUGGUUGCCAACGCACUAUCAAGGGUUUAGUAACUGUGGAUACGUUAGGUUUUGUUACCACAAACUGUAGGUUUUGUGGUGGGUGUGUUACGUUCCCCAGUUUCUGUGUUGUGGUUUUGUAUGUAUGUGUGUGUUUCAGGAUGGCUUCCUGAAAUUCCCCCAAGCAGCUGAUUGGUCGGCCCCCAUUGCUAAUUGGAGAGCUGACCACGCCCCCUCGUCAGGACACAGCUGUAUCCCAUUACAGACUCCUUCUCCAGCUAUAUAAGCCAGUGUUCUGUUGCUCAGAAGAGAGCUGAGGGUUAUAUCCUGGGUUGGUUGUUUCUCAGAUAGAGAUGAGUGUGUCCUGCGCUGGUUAUUGCUGAGAGACAGGUUUUUGUUAAGUACUUUGUAGCCGCUGCUUCUAAGGUAUGUGUGUCCCCAUAGGAGGCAGUGUUUUUGAUUAUUGAAAUAGUUUGUAUUAUUCUGUUUCAUUUGUUCCCAGGGGGGAAGGGGAAGGCACCUGGGGAGUGCUUAGGCAAGAGGCCCGCGGGCAUACAUAACCCAUAGUAUUCACUGUCUAUGCCUACUAGGUCAGACCUGGGCGGACCACCCCCUGUAUUUUGGUUAGUGCACCAGGUGGUGCUAGUUAGGUAAGUAGUGGGUAGGCAGGUAAGGUAGGAGAGGGGGCUUUGACAUUUACUUUCUUUGCUUUGGUUCCGUCCAGCCCCUUUUCCCCAAAUUUACCGUGUGAAGGAAUAAAU